CUCCUGUUCGUGUACCUUGGGGACUUGGUC
rnacentral:piRNA from 1 species